AUGCGAUCGGCGCGCAAGGGCUGUCGCUGACUCAAAAAAGGUCGUGCACGCCCGGGCGUUGUCCCCUCGCAUAACAAUCCAUCUCACCCUCUGUGCAUCACCGCGUGGGUUCCCUUCUCGGAGGGGGCUCGCGUUUUCACACACAAACCCCCCUUUUAAAAGUGUAGAAUGACCUCAUGUAUGCGUUAACCCGCAAUCAAUACAACUUUCAACAACGGAUCUCUUGGCUCUCGCAUCGAUGAAGAACGCAGCGAAAUGCGAUACGUAAUGUGAAUUGCAGAAUUCAGUGAAUCAUCGAAUCUUUGAACGCACCUUGCGCCCCUUGGUAUUCCGAGGGGCACACCCGUUUGAGUGUCGUGAAAACCUCAACCUCCUUGGUUUCUUCUGGAGACCAAAGCAGGCUUGGACUUUGGAGGCCUUUGCUGGCACCUCUCUUUUUGAAGGCCCAGCUCCUCUUAAAGAAAUUAGCAGGGUCCUCUUUGCUGAUCCUCGACGUGUGAUAAGAUGUUUCCAUGUCUUGGUUUCUGGCUCUGUCACUCCUGGGACCUGCUUCUAACCGUCUGGACCUUGCGUUGANACAAUGUUCGAGCAUGUGCCUCCCUUCUCGGGAAGCUCCCUCGANCCCACGACCCCCUUGACCUCAAAUCGGGUGAGACUACCCGCUGAACUUAAGCAUAUCAAUAAGCGGANGAAAAGAAACU
rnacentral:rRNA from 1 species